GGGGGUCCCGGGGCUCCCUCGGCGCCCCCAAAUUGCCGCCCCGCCCCCUCCCCUCCCUGCGGCCUCAGCCCCGCUCCGCCGCCGCUGGGCCCCAUCGUGACCACAAUGCCCACAAUGCAUCGCGUUUGUGCCAGCGGUAGACACCAGCGGAACUUCCGCCAAUACUUCUGCAAGGCGCGGGUUCUGAUUGGUUGCGCCGCAUUUGGCGCUUCUCGCCAGAGAUCUCGCGAGAGAAGCAGCGCGGCCAUGUUUGUUGAGGGCAACUCUGUGGGCUCCUCAGAGCGCUCCGUGUUCCCUUAUAAAUGCAGCCGGGAACAACGGAAUCCACCUGGAAAUGGCGUGAUAGAGCCUAAAUCCCCUCGGGCUGAGCCUAAAUCCCCUGGGAUUCAACCAAAAUGUUCAAAUCCUGGAGCUUUCCAUGGAUAGGGGCGGUACUCCUACGGCGGGAGGUGCGGUGACGUCACCUCGCCCAGCCCUUUCCGGCCCCUCCUGAGGCGGCUCCGCCUUUUCUCGGCGCCAUUCCCGGGGCCGCUUCUGGGCCUCUGGGCCGGGACCGGCGCUUGGCCCGGGGCUCCUUCGCCGCCCGAGCGUCCUGAAAGUGUCCCCAAGGUGUUCCAAGUGAGCAUGGAGCCCAAAGAGCUGUCCCCGGCCCUGCUGCAGCCACAGGUCACCGUGGUGGCCACCCUGGGCGAGCUGCUGGCCACCCUGCCCAGGCUGGAUGAGAUGCUGGGGCUGGUCGUGUGCCCAGAGCGCCUGUACUUGGACCUGGAGGAAUUCACCAAGGGGCUCCAGGCCACCCUGUGCACUGAUGACACCUGGAGGUGCCACAAUGUCAACUGCAAUAAUGAUGACCCUCCCGCCUCCAGUGAUGAUGAUCCUGCCGACUCUGAUAAGGAUAGUAAUCCUCUCACCUCUCUGAGCUGGGCCCUGGCUGCUUACAAGUGCAACCCACAGACCACUUGGGACCAUGUGACAAUGGUGGCCAGCAAGUGGCACCAGUCAGUGUCCGUGCUUGUGGACAACUGGGCCCAGCUGGCCAGGACAGCCAGCAAGCUUCGCAAAGCCUGCAGGGAGAUGGCUGUUGUGGCGGCCAACAGUGUGAUCGCUGACACCAUCCUGGAGGACGAGGCUGCCCUUGACGGGAUAGCUCAGGAAAACAUGGUGGAGCUGGGUCUGGCCCUGAGUAGGCAGAGGGUGGUGGCCGGGCAUGGAGCCUGGAUGAGGUUAGACGCCAGGGUGGCUGCCAGCGAGGCAACAAGGGUGAGAAGGGUGAGGGCGGCCCUGGGGCUGCUGGAGCGCUUGGUGGCUGCGUGUGAUGGAGCCGCCGCAUUCCCCUGGGAGCUGUACUGCAGGCUUGAGGACAUCGAGGCCACCCUGAAGGGGACAAAUGAGGCAUCCCCUGAUGUCCCCGAGGAUUUGGUGGCCAAGGUGGCCAUGGCCGAGCGGCUGUGGGAGGCCAACGCCCGCCUGGUCAAGGAUCACUUGGUGCAGACACUUGAUGACAUCAUCAAGUUCUAUUUCACUGGUGGUCCCAACAGCCCCAGUGCCUGUGUGGUGGCUGAGCGGUGCCUGAGAGCCACCGAGGACAUACCAAGGCUCCUUCGACCUCCAGAGUGUCCCCAAGGUGUCCCUAAGUUGUCCCCAGUGAGCAUGGAGCUCCAAAAGGUGUCUCCUCCGCAACUGCAGGCGCUCGUGGACGUGGUGGCCACCCUGGGUAAGGUGGUGGCCACUGUGCCCGGGCCACACAGGGCCAAGUGCCUGUGCAAGUCCCCAGACUCCCUGUACGAGGACCUGAGGAGAUUCACCCGGAGCCUCCGUGCGAUCCUGAACCACAGUGAUGUCACCUCCCUGGGCCACCGUGGUGUCCCCUCCCUGGGUCAGGCCCUGGCCACCCUCGGGGUCACCCCAGGCACCACCUGGGCCAAUGUGAGAGCCACGGCCAGCGCCUGGCGGAAGUUGGUGGCCAAGCUUGUGGACAGCUGUGACUGGCUGGCCCGGGAGGCCACCAAGCUCCGUGAGAAGGUGGUCACAGAGCAGCCGCUGAUGGUGGCCCUGGACAUGGAGGAGAUGGCCCCGCACGAUGCCCAGGUGGCGGCAGCCACAAGUGAGGCCAUGGGAGAGGCUGUGGCGGCCACCAGGAGGGGAUGUUGGGCAGUGGUGGUCCUGGGGCCACUGCAGCGCUUGGUGGCCACGUGUGACAGAGCCACCUUGUUUAACUGGAACAUGGAGUGGCGGCUCAGGGACAUUGAGGCCAUUCUGAAGGGGAUAAAUGAGGUGUCCCCUGAUGUCCUCCAGGCUUUGGUGGCCAAAGUGGCUCAGUUUGAGUGGCUGUGGGAGGCCAGCACCCGCCUGGCCAAGGAUCACCUGCUGGAGGCACUUGGAAUCAUUGACAACAUCCUCUUGAGUCCCUGCGGUGACCAUGGUGGCUCUGGUGGCCCCGGCAGCCGUGCGGUGGCCGAGCGGUGCCAAAAAGCCAUUGAGGACAUCCCAAGGCUGCUCUUGUGGUGGUGUCUGCAGGUCCCAGGACAAGGGAAGAUAUGAGAAUCUGACUCCAUGUUUCAGAAGACUGGUUAAUUAUUUUAUAUUAUAUUACAUUAAAACUGCUCUACUAAAACUACAUGAAAAGAAAUAGAGAAAGAAUACAUGAGAAAAGUAGAAAAGAGUGAAUAGUAAAAACCCAUGACAGACCAGAGAGUCCGACACAGCUGGCUGUGAUUUGCCAUCAAUUAAAAACAAUUCAUGUGUUUGGAUAAACAGUUCUCCAAAUCACAUUCCAAACAGUUCUCCAAAUCACAUUCCACAUGGAGAAGAUGAAGCUUCCCAGGAGAAAAAAUCCUGGCGAAGGCAUUUUUCAUAAAAUAUCACAGUGACAUGCUAUGGGGACAGUGAUGUCACCACUGUGAUGCCAUCAGGGCAGUGAUGUCACUGGAGAGACUUGUGGACACUUGGGUGCCACUGGCUCCCCGAGUGCCACCAGCUCCUUGUGUCACCAAGAGCCCCCUGAGAGCCACCAGCUCCCUGAGUGCUACCAACUCCUCGUGUCUCCAAGAGCCUCUCAAGUGCCACCAGCUCCUUGAGUGUCGUGGGAAGGGGACCAGGACACCAGAUGGUUCAACACAGGUCCAGUCCAGUUUAUUGAAGAAAGUAUCAAACACUUAUACAGCAAAUAAUAAGCUUAUGAAUAUUCUGUAAGCCAAGCAAUCUAUUGGUUAAACUAUAGCAUGAACUCUUCCUCAUUCCUUAGGGGUUACAUCUCUCUUUUCUCAUGUGUCUUUCACUGUUUGUUACUAUACUACAGCUAGGCUCAAGCACACACUAUCUAUGCAGGUGCAGGACUUGAAAUUAGCCACGGUUUUGUACUUUUCCAGUCUCUCUAGUCAGCUAAAUUCCCAACGCUUCCCCUGUUUUUAUUUUUUUGGGAAAACAAAAUUCUAUGGGCUAACUCUGUCACACUCUUUGCAACACAAAAAUAGACAAUUCUAACAACUAAACAAUAUUCUCAGCUAGCAAGGUUUCUCUCUUACAAGGGAUCUAAGCCAAGGAAACAAACCAAAAAGGCUAUCACUAAUUAUAGGAUAUGCUAUACAACAAAUACAAAAAGAAUUCUAUGUGCUACAAGGCUCAAACAAAACUCAGGUGUGCUAAUACAACCUACAAAAAUAAGCUAAAGAAAGUUUGCUUUCUAUUCUCAAACAACAAAUAUACUUCAAACAAAAACGGCUUUACUCACAAAUGCUUCUAAUUGUCUCUUUUAACUAGAGUUUCUCUAAUGUUCACAACAACACUUUGCACUCAAGUCAUAAAAUAAAUGCUUAUCAUAAAAGCUAAAAUCUAUCUAA
rnacentral:lncRNA from 1 species